GCGCUCGUAGCUCAGCGGAUAGAGCGAUAGGUUGCGGACCUAUAGGCCGGGGGUUCGAUUCCCUUCGAGCGCA
rnacentral:tRNA from 1 species